AUUGAACGCUGGCGGCAUGCCUUACACAUGCAAGUCGAACGGCAGCACGGGUGCUUGCACCUGGUGGCGAGUGGCGAACGGGUGAGUAAUACAUCGGAACAUGUCCUGUAGUGGGGGAUAGCCCGGCGAAAGCCGGAUUAAUACCGCAUACGAUCUACGGAUGAAAGCGGGGGACCUUCGGGCCUCGCGCUAUAGGGUUGGCCGAUAGCUGAUUAGCUAGUUGGUGGGGUAAAGGCCUACCAAGGCGACGAUCAGUAGCUGGUCUGAGAGGACGACCAGCCACACUGGGACUGAGACACGGCCCAGACUCCUACGGGAGGCAGCAGUGGGGAAUUUUGGACAAUGGGCGAAAGCCUGAUCCAGCAAUGCCGCGUGCGUGAAGAAGGCCUUCGGGUUGUAAAGCACUUUUGUCCGGAAAGAAAUCCUUGGCUCUAAUACAGUCGGGGGAUGACGGUACCGGAAGAAUAAGCACCGGCUAACUACGUG
rnacentral:rRNA from 1 species